rnacentral:rRNA from 1 species
GAUGAACGCUGGCGGCGUGCCUAAUACAUGCAAGUCGAGCGAAUGGAUUAAGAGCUUGCUCUUAUGAAGUUAGCGGCGGACGGGUGAGUAACACGUGGGUAACCUGCCCAUAAGACUGGGAUAACUCCGGGAAACCGGGGCUAAUACCGGAUAACAUUUUGAACCGCAUGGUUCGAAAUUGAAAGGCGGCUUCGGCUGUCACUUAUGGAUGGACCCGCGUCGCAUUAGCUAGUUGGUGAGGUAACGGCUCACCAAGGCAACGAUGCGUAGCCGCCCUGAGAGGGUGAUCGGCCAAACGGGGACUGAGAACCGGCCCAGACUCCUACGGGAGGCAGCAGUAGGGAAUCUUCCGCAAUGGACGAAAGUCUGACGGAGCAACGCCGCGUGAGUGAUGAAGGCUUUCGGGUCGUAAAACUCUGUUGUUAGGGAAGAACAAGUGCUAGUUGAAUAAGCUGGCACCUUGACGGUACCUAACCAGAAAGCCACGGCUAACUACGUGCCAGCAGCCGCCGUAA